UACGGAGGGUGCAAGCGUUAAUCGGAAUUACUGGGCGUAAAGCGCACGUAGGUGGUUUGCUAAGUCAGCUGUGAAAUCCCCGGGCUCAACCUGGGCACUGCAGUUGAAACUGGCAAGCUAGAGUAGGGUAGAGGGGUGUGGAAUUCCAGGUGUAGCGGUGAAAUGCGUAGAUAUCGGAAGGAACACCAGUGGCGAAAGCGGCUUCCUGGUCCAGCACCGACGUUCAGGCACGAAAGCGUGGGGAGCAAACAGG
rnacentral:rRNA from 1 species